rnacentral:rRNA from 1 species
UACGUAGGUGGCAAGCGUUGUCCGGAUUUACUGGGCGUAAAGAGCGCGCAGGCGGUCUUUUAAGUCGAAUGUGAAAUCCCUCGGCUCAACUGAGGAACUGCACGGGAAACUGACGGGCUUGAGUUCGGGAGAGGGAAGCGGAAUUCCGGGUGUAGCGGUGAAAUGCGUAGAUAUCCGGAGGAACACCGGUGGCGAAGGCGGCCUCCUGGACCGACACUGACGCUGAGGCGCGAAAGCUAGGGGAGCAAACGGG